CCCUUAGAUGUCCGGGGCCGCACGCGCGCUACACUGAAGGAAUCAGCGUGGCUUUCUCCCUGACCCGAAAGGGUUGGGAAACCCGUUGAAUCUCCUUCGUGAUAGGGAUUGGGGCUUGAAAUUGUUCCCCAUGAACGAGGAAUUCCCAGUAAGCGCGAGUCAUAAGCUCGCGUUGAUUACGUCCCUGCCCUUUGUACACACCGCCCGUCGCUACUACCGAUUGAACGGUUUAGUGAGGGCCUCGGAUUGGUCUCGGCCCGCUCUUUACCGGGCGGCGCCGUUGGUCGAGAAGACGCUCGAACUUGAUCGUUUAGAGGAAGUAAAAGGCGUAACA
rnacentral:rRNA from 1 species